UACGAAGGGGGCUAGCGUUGCUCGGAAUCACUGGGCGUAAAGGGUGCGUAGGCGGGUCUUUAAGUCAGGGGUGAAAUCCUGGAGCUCAACUCCAGAACUGCCUUUGAUACUGGAGAGCUCGAGUCCGGGAGAGGUGAGUGGAACUGCGAGUGUAGAGGUGAAAUUCGUAGAUAUUCGCAAGAACACCAGUGGCGAAGGCGGCUCACUGGCCCGGUACUGACGCUGAGGUGCGAAAGUGUGGGGAGCAAACAGG
rnacentral:rRNA from 1 species